rnacentral:rRNA from 1 species
GACGAACGCUGGCGGCGUGCUUAACACAUGCAAGUCGAGCGGUAAGGCCCUUUCGGGGGUACACGAGCGGCGAACGGGUGAGUAACACGUGGGUGACCUGCCCUCAGCUCUGGGAUAAGCCUGGGAAACUGGGUCUAAUACCGGAUAUGACUCCAUGACGCAUGUUGUGGGGUGGAAAGCCUUGUGCGGCUGAGGAUGGGCCCGCGGCCUAUCAGCUUGUUGGUGGGGUGANGGCCUACCAAGGCGACGACGGGUAGCCGGCCUGAGAGGGCGACCGGCCACACUGGGACUGAGACACGGCCCAGACUCCUACGGGAGGCAGCAGUGGGGAAUCUUGCGCAAUGGGCGAAAGCCUGACGCAGCGACGCCGCGUGAGGGAUGACGGCCUCGGUGUAACGUACUU